UGGGGAAUAUUGCACAAUGGAGGAAACUCUGAUGCAGCGACGCCGCGUGAGUGAAGAAGUAGUUCGCUAUGUAAAGCUCUAUCAGCAGGGAAGAUAGUGACGGUACCUGACUAAGAAGCUCCGGCUAAAUACGUGCCAGCAGCCGCGGUAAUACGUAUGGAGCAAGCGUUAUCCGGAUUUACUGGGUGUAAAGGGAGUGUAGACGGCAAAGCAAGUCUGAAGUGAAAGCCCCGGGCUCAACCCGGGAACUGCUUUGGAAACUGUUUAGCUAGAGUGCAGGAGAGGUAAGUGGAAUUCCUAGUGUAGCGGUGAAAUGCGUAGAUAUUAGGAGGAACACCAGUGGCGAAGGCGGCUUACUGGACUGUAACUGACGUUGAGGCUCGAAAGCGUGGGGAGCAAACAGGAUUAGAUACCCUGGUAGU
rnacentral:rRNA from 1 species